rnacentral:lncRNA from 10 species
GAGAUAGAGUUUCGCUUUUGUUGCCCAGGCUGGAGUGCAAUGGCAUGAUCUCAGCUCACUGCAACCUCCGCCUCCUGGAUUCAAGUGAUUCUCCUGCCUCAGCCUCCCAAGUAGCUGGGAUUACAGGCAUGCGCCACCACGCCCGGCUAAUUUUGCAUUUUUAGUAGAGACAGGAUUUCUCCAUGUUGGUCAGGCUCGUCUCGAACUCCCGACCGCAGGUCAUCUGCCCGUCUCGGUCUCCCAAAGUGCUGGAUUACAGGCGUGAGCCACCUCGUCCAGCCUAAUUUUUGUAUUUUUAAUAGAGAUGGGGUCUCACCAUGUUGGUCAGGCUGGUCUCAAACUCCUGGCUUCAAGUGAUCCACCCACCUCGCCCUCCCAAAGUGCUGGGAUUACAGGUGUGAACCGCUGCACUCGGCUCUGGACUUUUCUUACACAUUUAUUUACACAGGGAUGGAUGGAGCUGUCGUGGGGUCCUGGGUGGGGCUGCCCUGAGCAUGCCUCCGGGGCAGGGUGGGCACUCACGUGGUGAUCUUGAGGACGUCCUUCAUGCUGGUCAGCGGGUCCGAGUUGUCAGGGCAGCGCAGGAGGCAGGGUGCGAAGAUAAUGGCCAGCGCCCCAGGUGACAUGCG